AGCGAACGCUGGCGGCAGGCCUAACACAUGCAAGUCGAACGGAUCCUUCGGGAUUAGUGGCGGACGGGUGAGUAACACGUGGGAACGUGCCUUUUGGUUCGGAACAACUCAGGGAAACUUGAGCUAAUACCGGAUGUGCCCUUCGGGGAAGGAUUAUCGCCAUUAGAGCGGCCCGCGUCUGAUUAGCUUGUUGGUGAGGUAAAGGCUCACCAAGGCUACGAUCAGUAGCUGGUCNGAGAGGAUGAUCAGCCACACUGGGACUGAGACACGGCCCAGACUCCUACGGGAGGCAGCAGUGGGGAAUCUUGCGCAAUGGGCGAAAGACCUGACGCAGCAACGCCGCGUGGGGAGUGAAGGCUCUCGGGUUGUAAACCCCUUUCCAGCAGGGACGAUUAUGACGGUACCUGCAGAAGAAGGA
rnacentral:rRNA from 1 species